rnacentral:misc_RNA from 1 species
UUGUUUCCUUUUUUUCGACUUGCUCCGACUUCUGCACGAGAGACUUUUCCUUCUUUCUCCUCGUCGACCGCUGGCAGGCCCACACCACACACGCUUCCCGCGCGGGGGCGGCCCUGCCAAGGCAACGGAGGAGACACACUUGGGAUCGGUACGCAAAAGGGCUGGAGCGUCAGGCCUGCACUUGCAGCGCUCGAUAAUGAUCCCUCCGCAGGUUCACCUACGGAGA